GGAAUUUUGGACAAUGGGCGCAAGCCUGAUCCAGCAAUGCCGCGUGAGUGAAGAAGGCCUUCGGGUUGUAAAGCUCUUUUGUCAGGGAAGAAACGGUGGACUCUAAUACAGAUCACUAAUGACGGUACCUGAAGAAUAAGCACCGGCUAACUACGUGCCAGCAGCCGCGGUAAUACGUAGGGUGCAAGCGUUAAUCGGAAUUACUGGGCGUAAAGCGUGCGCAGGCGGUUUGGUAAGACAGAUGUGAAAUCCCUGGGCUCAACCUAGGAAUUGCAUUUGUGACUGCCCGGCUAGAGUGUGUCAGAGGGGGGUAGAAUUCCACGUGUAGCAGUGAAAUGCGUAGAGAUGUGGAGGAAUACCGAUGGCGAAGGCAGCCCCCUGGGAUAACACUGACGCUCAUGCACGAAAGCGUGGGGAGCAAACAGGAUUAGAUACCCCUG
rnacentral:rRNA from 1 species